GUUUCCACAAUUUAAAGCCAAACUCCCUGGAUUGUAUAAGGAUUUCAACACAAAUGAAAUGAGACAUAGCUGUAAAUUAAUCAGCACUCAUUUAUGUAACCAGAAAGUGUGUUGACAACCCACUAUGAACAUGACUGACCUGUUUUUCUGAGGAAAUCCCCGUGUAGUGAGUGGGCGAAGGGGAAGUGGAUGCUUGUGUGUGUAUAUAUAAUGAUCCCAAACGCCAGUCAGCAGCAGGAGUCUCACUGGAGGAGUCAGUAUGAAGCUGUUGUCUGUCGUCAAAGCUUUGGGGUCUGUGUGUCUGCUGUUUGCAGAUGGAGCUCCAGUUUCUGAGGAUGAAUCUCCAGAGAUCAUCGGGCCGAAUCGUGUCCAAAUCAAAGCUCAUCCAGGUGAGCCGCUCCUCCUUCACUGCGGUGCAUUUACAAACUGUGAGGAUGAUGUGAGCGUUAUCUACUGGCUCGUCAAUGACUCUUUCCCUGAAGAAACGGUCAACAGCGACAGAAUAGUGGAAUCAAGCGAAUCAACUUUCGAGGAGGGUACAGUCCUACAGAGGAGUUUGCUCUUGAAGACCGUCACCUCAGAGGAUCUCACAUCCAACUUCACAUGCGUUGUGACAAAUGCCAUGGGAAUGGCCCAGAAGUGCAUAACAUUAACAGCAAAGACUGAUGGCUUUAGCAGUAACUGACAGAAAACACACAGAAUAGCACUGCUGUAAAAAGUGGAUUUCUGUGUGCAGGGUUAUAUCUUGCAGAAAAUUGCCAAGAGUUAACGUAUGUGAAAUUGCUGCUUUUGUGUUGUACUGAAAUCCGGGCUGCAUUUGAUUAUGGCAAAUCCUUACCCUUUGAUAUGUAGGCCAGUAAACGUAAAAAUGACUCCUAAAUCUCAAGGAAGGAAUAAUACAAGGAAACCAGUCAACAGGUGGACACUAGGUCCCUUAAUGCUGCUUUUGAGGAUCCCCUCCUGAUCCAAGGAAACAAAACAUCCAGAGGCAACACUUUAUGUGGAACUGAACACACCCAUUAUACCUGCAGUAAACUGCCUACAUUACUAUGACUCUACAAGGCACUUUCUACCAAUUCCAGACUGAUACAGAAUAUUGCACCAGUAAUUCGCUGAAAUUAUUUUGUGUGUAUCAUUGUACUGUUCGCUGACAGAAAUCUCAACUUUGUAUGCUUUUAAACCAUAAUGAGAAUUUACAUUAUCAUCAAUUAAAUCUUUCAUAAACUCAUGUAUACGCUGCUGAUAAAUCAUUGUGGCUGUUUCACUUGAGAUUUACCAUUAAUCCUACAUUGUAGUUGGUGUUUAUUUCAAGCAGGUAUAGAAUCAGUAUCACUGAACACUUUCAUAGGUGCAGUCGAUACAGGUGUCCACUGUAAUGUGUCAUUUCUGAGGGUGGUCUAUUUAAUAUGUUUUUGUGUUGUAUGC
ensembl:lncRNA